GACGAACGCUGGCGGCGUGCUUAACACAUGCAAGUCGAACGGAAAGGCCCUGCUUUUGUGGGGUGCUCGAGUGGCGAACGGGUGAGUAACACGUGAGUAACCUGCCCUUGACUUUGGGAUAACUUCAGGAAACUGGGGCUAAUACCGGAUAGGAGCUCCUGCUGCAUGGUGGGGGUUGGAAAGUUUCGGCGGUUGGGGAUGGACUCGCGGCUUAUCAGCUUGUUGGUGGGGUAGUGGCUUACCAAGGCUUUGACGGGUAGCCGGCCUGAGAGGGUGACCGGAUACAUUGGGACUGAGAUACGGCCCAGACUCCUCCGGGAGGCAGCAGUGGGGAAUAUUGCACAAUGGGCGGAAGCCUGAUGCAGCAACGCCGCGUGCGGGAUGCCGGCCUUCGGGUUGUAAACCGCUUUCGCCUGUGACGAAGCGUGAGUGACGGUAAUGGGUAAAGAAGCACCGGCUAACUACGUG
rnacentral:rRNA from 1 species